rnacentral:lncRNA from 1 species
ACCUGGCCCUGGCGUAGCAACAGCAGCAGCGGCAGCAGCGCCCAGCGGAGCCCGGGCGAGCGCGGGGGUGUCCGCGUCUCCCGCGCCGCGGGCUUCAUGCCCUGCGCGCCCUGGAACGUGCCCGGGACGCGCCCCGCCGGUGCCCGAAGCCGGGCGCCCUGGUCUCCGCCUCCAGCCGACGCCUCCGCCUCCUUCUCCGCCAGCCGGUCCGCCUAGUCCCCGCUCCGCCCGCCCCGGGCUUCCCCGGGGACAUGGCAGCGGCGGCGGCGGCGGCCACACGGCGGAGCCUAGCGCUCCUAACGCGGAGCGGCCGCGGCCCUAGACACGCAGGGGCUUCGCGGGGCGGAGCAAGCGGCGCCCACCCCCCGCGCGUGGCGUCCAGCUCCGGGCUCCCGCGGCCCCGGCUGCUCCCUCUGCCUCCUCCGCGCGUCAUGCGGCUCCGGCUGCAGGGAGCCGCGCGGAGCGCUCGGCCCCCUCUCCUCCCCUCCCCCUCUGAAUAUUCAUCGCUUCCUCCCGCUCGGGCGGGCCGGCCGCUGCCGUGCUCCGCGGCCCCUCGCCGCCCUCUCG